rnacentral:tRNA from 1 species
GCCUUCGUGGUGUAGUGGUUAGCACGCUCGACGCGUAUUCGAGAAGUCCGUGGUUCGAGUCCCGGCGAGGGCA